GUUACUCGCCCUUGUUUCGGUGGCUGGGUAUUUGCUUCGCACCAUGGCGCCCAAAGGCAAAGUGGGUACAAGAGGGAAGAAGCAGAUAUUUGAAGAGAACAAAGAAACUCUCAAGUUUUACCUUCGGAUCAUUCUGGGAGCCAAUGCCAUCUACUGCCUUGUGACCUUGGCUUUCUUCUAUUCAUCUGCCUCAUUCUGGGCCUGGAUGGCCCUGGCCUUCAGCUUGGCCGUGUACGGGGCCAGCUACCACUCUAUGAGCUCAAUGGCUCGGGCAUCCUUCUCUGAGGACGGGUCCUUGGUGGACGGUGGCAUGGACCUCAACAUGGAGCAGGGCAUGGCAGAGUGAGUGUCCCCCAUCGCCAGCUCAGGUGAGCGGCCCCAGGGCUGGGGCGCUGGGGCCCACACAGCCCAAGACUCAGAACUAUUCCCAGCCUAGCAGUCUGGAAGGGGCAGACCUAGGUAGGGCCAAUCUACUAUCCUUGGCAGCCUUCCUUUCAUCCGCAGGCACCUUAAGGAUGUGAUCCUACUGACAGCCAUUGUUCAGGUGCUCAGCUGUCUCUCCCUCUACAUCUGGUCCUUCUGGCUUCUGGCUCCAGGCCGGGCCCUUUACCUCUUGUGGGUAAACGUGCUGGGCCCCUGGUUCGCAGCAGACAGUGGAGCCCCAGCACCAGAGCUCAAUGAAAAACGACAACGCCGACAGGAACGGCGCCAGAUGAAAAGGUUAUAGCGUCUCUACUGUGGCUGUAGGCUGCUGGGUGCUGGUUGGCUCUAUUAGGAUGUAUGGCCCCAUGCCUGGAGCAGUGAGGGCCUA
rnacentral:lncRNA from 1 species